CAGGGCGAAUGUCUUGUAAUUGGAAUGAUGGUGACCCAAACCCUCACCAGAGUAGCAAUUGGAGGGCAAGUCUGGUGCCAGCAGCCGCGGUAAUUCCAGCUCCAAUAGCGUAUAUUAAACUUGUUGCAGUUAAAAAGCUCGUAGUUGUAUUUUUGCGUUGACGGUUUGACCAUUUGGUUGGUUAUUUCGUUUUCGCUUUUGGGAAUUUCCCUUUUUACUUUGAGAAAAUUAGAGUGUUUCAAGCAGACUUUUGUCUUGAAUACUUCAGCAUGGAAUAAUAGAGUAGGACUUUGGUUCUAUUUUGUUGGUUAUUGAACCUUAGUAAUGGUUAAUAGGAACGGUUGGGGGCAUUCGUAUUUAACUGUCAGAGGUGAAAUUCUUAGA
rnacentral:rRNA from 1 species